ACCACCACCACCACCACCACCAACACCGUCUGACCAGCAGAGCUCUGGAAGUGACCGCCUCGUUAUUGAUACAGAGGAGGAGGAAAUGGGGGAGCCUUCAGGCCAGCCUGAUGUCACUUACGUGGACUCUGAUUCGUCGGAGCCGCCACAGUAUAUGAUUAUUGACAGUGAUGAGGAAGGGGAUGAGGAAGGGGAGAAAAAGCCCUCUCCCCAACUUGGUAAGUAAACUAAAGUAUUGUAC